ACUAAAGUUAACAGUUACUGACUAAACGUAAGAUGUGCAGACUAAAGGUAAGAGUUGCAGACUAAAGGUAAGUGUUGCAGACUAAAGGUAAGAGUUGUAGACUAAAGGUAAGAGUUUUAGACUAAAGGUAAGAGUUGUAGACUAAAAGUAAAAGUUAUAGACUAAAGGUAAGAGUUAUAGACUAAAGUUAACAGUUACUGACCAAAGGAAAGAAUCGUAGACCUAAGGUUAGAGUCAUAGACUAAAAAUAAGAGUCGUAGACUAAAGGGAAGAUUCGUAGACUAAAGGUCAGAGUCGCAGACUAAAGGUAAGAGUUACUGACUAAAAAUAAGAGUCAUAGACUAAAGGGAAGAUUCGUAGACUAAAGGUCAGAGUCGCAGACUAAAGGUAAGAGUUAUUGACUAAAAAUAAGAGUCGUAGACUAAAGGUAAGAUUCGUAGACUAAAGGUAAGAGUUGUAGACUAAAGGUAAGAGUUGCAGACUAAAGGUAAGAGUUGUAGAGUACAGGUAAGUCCUGUGAAAUACAGGUACGGUUUGAGUACAGGUAAGAGUUGCAGACUAAAGGUAAGUGUUUUAGACUAAAGGUAAGAGUUGUAGACUAAAGGAAAGAGUUAUAGACUAAAUUUAACAGUUACUGACUAAAGGUAAGAGGUGCAGACUAAAGGUAAGAGUUGUAGACUAAAGGUAAGUGUUGCAGAUUAAAGGUAAGAGUUGUAGAGUACAGGUAAGUCCUGUGAAAUACAGGUACGGUUUGUAGAGUAAAGGUAAGAGUUGUAGAGUAAAGGCAAGAGUCACAGACUAAAGGUAAGAGUCGUAGACUGAAGGUACAAAUCGAAGACUAAAGGUAAGAGUCCUAGACUAAAGGUAAGAGUCGUAGACUAAAGGUAAGAGUCGUAGACUAAAGGUAAGAAUUGUAGACUAAAGGUAAGAAUCGUAGACUAAAGGUAAGAUUUAUUGACUAAAAAUAAGAGUCGUAGACUAAAGGGAAGAUUCGUAGACUAAAGGUCAGAUUCGCAGACUAAAGGUAAGAGUUAUUGACUAAAAAUAAGAGUCGUAGACUAAAGGUAAGAUUCGUAGCCUAAAGUUAAGAGUUGUA
ensembl:lncRNA